GACGAACGCUGGCGGCGUGCUUAACACAUGCAAGUCGAACGGAAAGGCCCUUCGGGGUACUCGAGUGGCGAACGGGUGAGUAACACGUGGGUGAUCUGCCCUGCACUUUGGGAUAAGCCUGGGAAACUGGGUCUAAUACCGGAUAGGACCACGGCAUUCAUGUGCUGUGGUGGAAAGCUUUUGCGGUGUGGGAUGGGCCCGCGGCCUAUCAGCUUGUUGAUGGGGUAAUGGCCUACCAAGGCGACGACGGGUAGCCGGCCUGAGAGGGUGACCGGCCACACUGGGACUGAGAUACGGCCCAGACUCCUACGGGAGGCAGCAGUGGGGAAUAUUGCACAAUGGGCGCAAGCCUGAUGCAGCGACGCCGCGUGAGGGAUGACGGCCUUCGGGUUGUAAACCUCUUUCGCCAGGGACGAAGCGCAAGUGACGGUACCUGGAGAAGAAGGACCGGCCAACUACGUG
rnacentral:rRNA from 1 species